GAUGAACGCUGGCGGCGUGCCUAAUACAUGCAAGUCGAGCGAACGGACGAGAAGCUUGCUUUUCUGAUGUUAGCGGCGGACGGGUGAGUAACACGUGGAUAACCUACCUAUAAGACUGGGAUAACUUCGGGAAACCGGAGCUAAUACCGGAUAAUAUUUUGAACCGCGUGGUUCAUAAGUGAAAGACGGUCUUGCUGUCACUUAUAGAUGGAUCCGCGCUGCAUUAGCUAGUUGGUAAGGUAACGGCUUACCAAGGCAACGAUGCAUAGCCGACCUGAGAGGGUGAUCGGCCACACUGGAACUGAGACACGGUCCAGACUCCUACGGGAGGCAGCAGUAGGGAAUCUUCCGCAAUGGGCGAAAGCCUGACGGAGCAACGCCGCGUGAGUGAUGAAGGUCUUCGGAUCGUAAAACUCUGUUAUUAGGGAAGAACAUAUGUGUAAGUAACUGUGCACAUCUUGACGGUACCUAAUCAGAAAGCCACGGCUAACUACGUG
rnacentral:rRNA from 1 species